UGUAUGUAUGUGUCCACAGAGUAGGGCAGAAUUCAGGGUGACAGAGAUUCAAGCUGUGAAGUCAUGACUUCAGGAUCCAGAGAUGCACAUUGCUAACUGAAGAGGCAACAGAACUGAGACUGAAUACAAAGGAGAAAAUGAGCUGAGCUGCAGUGUGUCGCUUUGCUUCCUGUCUGAAGAUUAAAUGUGACCAGCGGCCUUGUGUGACUGCCAACAUGCCUUUUCCACAAGGUCAGUGAAGUCUCCUCGCCUGAGCCAGCACCUGCCUGGCUUUCUGUGAGCCCUGAACCACACCUGUUUCUGGUUGAUUCUGCCAACUUUCUCUACCUGAUGUGUGAGCCUCCAGCCCUCCAACAACAGAGAGCAUGGUACUCUGCUUUCUCUGAUUGUAAGGCUGUCAUUGCAGAGAGUCUCAGUCUCUCUCCUUCCACCUAAGGGGUUGUUGUCCUCUUCAUUAUAC